GUCUUCGGGGUGUAAUGGUCAGCACACUGAGCCGGUAUUUCAGAGGUCCGCGGUUCGAUCCCCGGCGAAGGCA
rnacentral:tRNA from 1 species